CCCCCCUAUAAAUGGACGUGGUUCGACUCUGCUGUCCUCAGUUUAGCUGCAGGAGCGACACUGAUCUUCACAGACAUCCAGUGGAAUCAUGAAGUCCCAUCAGAUCUCUGCCUUCUGCCUCCUGAUGACAGUGCUGCUGUCCUCCUCUCUGGCUCAAUAUCGCUAUGGACUAGGUCAGUGCUGUUUUACAUACUUUACUGGAAGACUGAGGAUGGACCAGAUAACUGGAUAUGAAGAGACCAGAGCAGGCUGUGCUAAACCGGGAAUUAUACUUUACACCAAAAAGGACAAAGAACUGUGUGUCGAUCCCAGCAAUCGCUGGGUUCAGAACGUGAAGCAGAAGCUGGAUCAGCAGUAACGCCUCCUGUCUGCCUGGCAAAACACGAAGAAUGAAUUUUAUUACAUUUAAACUUCUGCUGUAAUUCUCAUAUAACAUUACUUUCUGUCAUCAUCAAAAUCAUUUUAACUUUUGCUGCAUUUUAUACUUCAAUAUGUUUAGCUUAUAUAUUUUUAAAACAGCAGUGAAUUGUCAGU